rnacentral:rRNA from 1 species
UACAGAGGUCUCGAGCGUUAGGCGGAAUCACUGGGCUUAAAGCGUGUGUAGGUGGAUCGGUAAGUACCUUGUGAAAUCCCACAGCUUAACUGUGGAACUGCUUGGUAUACUGCCAGUCUUGAGCCAGCUAGGGGCUACCGGAACAAAUGGUGGAGCGGUGAAAUGCGUAGAUAUCAUUUGGAACGCCAAUGGGGAAAACAGGUAGCUGGGGCUGUGCUGACACUGAGACACGAAAGCCAGGGGAGCAAACGGG